rnacentral:rRNA from 1 species
UACGUAGGGGGCAAGCGUUGUCCGGAAUCAUUGGGCGUAAAGAGCGUGUAGGCGGUCCGGUAAGUCGGCUGUGAAAGUCCAGGGCUCAACCCUGGGAUGCCGGUCGAUACUGCCGGACUAGAGUUCGGAAGAGGCGAGUGGAAUUCCCGGUGUAGCGGUGAAAUGCGCAGAUAUCGGGAGGAACACCUAUGGCGAAGGCAGCGCGCUGGGACGUUACUGACGCUGAGGAGCGAAAGCCAGGGGAGCAAACGGG